CGGCCGGGGGACGGACUGGGA
rnacentral:snRNA from 1 species